CAGGACCUGCCUGGAUGCUGAUGGGCAGGACUGGGGAGGAGGUGAAGGGACCAUAUAGCAGUCUAAGGGAAGAUAGAGUUUGUUCCCUGAGAAGGUGGUUUAGCAUCCCCCAUGUCCCCAUCCCCUCAGUGCCCCUGCCUCAUGGGCAACCGGGGGAAGCAAGGAGAGCGUGACAGAGGCACGGCCAGUGGGGAGACGGAGCCAGAGAAGACAUCUGUCAGCAGACGGCCUGAGAGGGCAGAAGGUGGGCACCAGUUUGUACGGUCUUCCCUUCUUGCCCAGUCCGCCACAAUGCUAUGGGGGACAUAAGGGAGGGGACAGACCAGAAUCUCGUCAGGAUUAGAAGUAAGCCUGGCUAUGGACUCUGCUUGACCUCCAGAAGUUUCCCCUCAGGUGAAACAGGAUUUUUCAAAGACAAGGAAACUAAGGCCUCCUGGAGUUAACUUACUGGCUCAAGUCACUAAGAGACAGGAUUCAGGUUUGGCAUGAGUUAGAACACUCUGACUUGAGUGGAAGGUUUCCCAUACAACUGUCACAGGAGGAUGAAGGCUCCACCCGUGGUAGAUUAGCGGAUGUACACUGUGAAUGGUCCAUUGUUAUGCUCUUCCUGCCUUAGUGAGACAAGAAAUAAGAACCACUUGAAGCUUCUGCCAAAAAACAGAGACUUUCUUCUCCCAAGACAAAGAAGCAUAAAACAUAAGGGAGACGGAACUGCACCUGCUUUGUGCCUUGAUGCUCAGGCAAAGAGAACACGAAGAUAUUCGAGGUUCCAAGUGGUCAGGUCCUGUUUUCUCCCCUCUCGGAAGAAGGGUCGGGGUUGGAGGGAAUGCGAAUGGAGGGAGAGGUGGCAAACAGUUGCAAGUUCUCUGACAAAGCAGCUCCCUCAGAUUCCCCUUCCUCUCCUCAGAGUGGACUUUGAGGAGAGGCUUUAGAGAGCAGUGAUUUGUCAGCAUUGCCAUCAAGACUGCUGAAGAAUUCACUAGAUGGUGGCUAAGCCUACGUUAAGAACCUAAAUUUACCAUCCAGCCUCAGAGGAAUGACUUUACGUGUCGAAGUGGUGGCUUGAGAAAUGAGGAGAGCAGAGGGGUGGAAGGGUUCAAUUACAUAAAAGAUACAGAUAUAUAAUUUUAC
rnacentral:lncRNA from 1 species